GUGGGUAUGGUUUUUUUUUUCCUCCUUUCUUUUAGGAAUAAAAUCUCUUUACCUGGUUGUUUGGAGAUGUGUUUAUACAGUCGUUAAUGAUUCAGUUAUAAUCGCUAGAAUUUACUCUAUGUUCUUUUUGGGUUUGGGUAUCUGUUUUCUCAUUGGUCAUGUUUAUUCCUUGUGUACCUCUACGUUUUUAUUGGCUAUUUUAAUUCUCAUAGCUUUUCAUCUAUUGUUCUUUCUACAGAGGUCAACUUGAGCUUUUCAC
rnacentral:misc_RNA from 1 species